rnacentral:snRNA from 1 species
AUCUUUGCGCAGUGGCAGUAUCGUAGCCAAUGAGGUUUAUCCGAGGUGCGAUUAUUGUUAAUUGAAAACUUUUCCCAAUACCCUGCCAUGACAGCUUGCAGUAUAGUUGGCAUUGGGAAAAAAAUAGUAAUUUUUUUAAAAAA